GUUNUCUUGGUCAUUUAGAGGAAGUAAAAGUCGUAUCAUGGUUUCUGUGGGUGAGCGUGCGGAGGGAUCAUUUUUCAACGAAAUAGCUGGCAAUGCUGUCGUUGGCUAUAAUGCAUAUCAAUAAGCGGAGGAGGUCUUGGUCCAUUAGAGGAAGUAAAAGUCGUAACAAGGUUUCCGUAGGUGAACCUGCGGAAGGAUCAUUACAGAGUUCGAGCCCUCCGGGGCAGACCUCCCACCCUUGCCUACCCUACCUUUGUUGCUUUGGCGGGCCGUCCUCUCGGCCACCGGCGUGGCGUCCUGCGCUGGUGCGCGCCCGCCAGAAGAGCCCAAACCCUGAAUGCACUGUGUCGGCUGAGUAACACAUCAACGUUAAAACUUUCAACAACGGAUCUCUUGGUUCUGGCAUCGAUGAAGAACGCAGCGAAAUGCGAUAAGUAAUGUGAAUUGCAGAAUUCAGUGAAUCAUCGAAUCUUUGAACGCACAUUGCGCCCCUCGGUAUUCCGGGGGGCAUGCCUGUUCGAGCGUCAUUCGCACCCCUCAAGCGCUGCUUGGUCCUGGGCCGCGCCGGUGUUGGCGGGCCCCAAACUCAGUGGCGGCGCGGCUGGGCUCCGAGCGUAGUAACAUCUCUCUCGCUGUGGUGACCUGGCGGACGGCGACCAGCAAGCCCAACUUCUAGUAGUUGACCUCGGAUCAGGUAGGAGUACCCGCUGAACUUAAGCAUAUCAAUAGCGGGAGGAAGUCAACGGUCUAUGCCGGGAGAUGCUUCAUGAUCCUCUGCUAUCUGAAUGUCUUUAUCGGACGAUAUGAUAAACUUGACCUCAAAUCAGGUAGGACUACCCGCUGAACUUAAGCAUAUCAAUAAGCGGAGGAAG
rnacentral:rRNA from 1 species